rnacentral:rRNA from 1 species
AGUCAAUAGAUACCCGGGUAGUCCAUGCCGUAAACGAUGAUUGCUAGGUGGUGGGGGGUCUGACCCCUUCCGUGCCGGAAGUUAAACACAAUAAGCAAUCCACCUGGGGAGUACGGCCGCAAGGUUGAAACUCAAAGGAAUUGACGGGGGCCCGCACAAGCAGUGGAGUAUGUGGUUUAAAUUCGAAGCAACGCGAAGAACCUUACCAGGUCUUGACAUCCACCGAAUCCUGUAGAGAUACGGGAGUGCCCUUCGGGGAACGGUGAGACAGGUGGUGCAUGGUUGUCGUCAGCUCGUGUCGUGAGAUGUUGGGUUAAGUCCCGCAACGAGCGCAACCCUUGUGAAUAGUUGCUACGAAAGAGCACUCUAUUCAGACCGCCGUUGACAAAACGGAGGAAGGUGGGGAUGACGUCAAAUCAUCAUGCCCCUUAUGACCUGGGCUACACACGUACUACAAUGGCCGUUAACAGAGGGAUGCAAUGCCGCGAGGU